rnacentral:misc_RNA from 1 species
AUCCCGAUCCCAAGCACCAUGGAGCCGACGAUUUGGAUCAAGACCUACAUCCCAAGCACCAAGGUGCCUGGUUGAUAUGGAUCGCGAUCCCGAUCUGGAGCUCCAGGGCGCCGAGGAUUUCGAUCACGAUCCCGAUCUGAAGCACCGAGUAGCCGAGGAUAUGGAUCAAGACCCCGGUCCGAAGCGACAAGGAGGCAAGGAUUUGGAUCACCACUCCGAUCAAAGGCACCAAGGCGUCGAGGGAUUGGAUCGAGAUCCCGAUCCCAAUCAUGAAGUUGGCUAUGUAAUUUCCUGUUUUCCACACCGUUCAGGGCAUUUUGGUGGUCGUAUCGGCUUUUAGUUGCUUGCUUGGUGUUAGUGCCAAGGGAGUGGUUGGAAGCUAGGUCGUCCUCUGGAAUGCUUGUUGUAAAGGUGUAUGAGUUGUGUUUGGCUUGUUACGGGUGUUUGUUGGCUGCUUGUGCAGGAACUUUCAUGCGUCCAAGCCUCUUCAGUUGUGCUACAAGGCCUUGUUUGUCUUGUGCAUACGGUGGGUUUCCUGUGUUGCAUACCUAAUCAAGGGCAUCGUAUGGCUUAAUCGAAGUAAAUAUUCGUAAUGCGCCGCUUGCGGCGUUGCACGAACCUUGAAGUGGUCUCUGUGGCCCAUGUUGUCUAUGCUCACGUAUGGAUGGCAUGGCCCUCGGAGCGUCGCUUGGUCUCUUGGAUACGGAACCUGAUGAUGUGGGCGGUAGGGUCUUGGAUGAUUCUACCUUCGC